UACGUAGGGGCCUAGCGUUGUCCGGCAUUAUUGGGCGUAAAGAGCUCGUAGGCGGUUCGGCAAGUCGGAUGUGAAAUCUCCACGCUCAACGUGGAGGGGCCAUUCGAAACUGCCGUGACUCGAGUCCGGUAGGGGAGUGUGGAAUUCCCGGUGUAGCGGUGAAAUGCGCAGAUAUCAGGAGGAACACCGGUGGCGAAGGCGGGUCUCUGGGCCGAUACUGACGCUGAGGAGCGAAAGCGUGGGGAGCGAACAGG
rnacentral:rRNA from 1 species